UUUUUUUUUUUUUUUUAACACCAUAUCUGCUGCUAUGUCAAAUCAAUAAAAAUCAAUUCUCGUAUAAACCUCACUAUUGUUUAAUUUAAGAGGGGCAAGUUAAGCUGCUUACAUUAACUUGCACACUGGACCUAGGGCCUAAACGAGGACGUACAGAGUAAUUAUGCAAGGGGAAACUUAGGCCAUCUACCCGGAUCGAAAGUGUGCUGUUAACUUUUGCAUUUCCAUCACCAUUUAUGCCUGUGGUAACUCACUGGGCUUCGUUUAUCAAGGUUAUUGACUUCAAGGCCCUUUUUUCCCUCAUAAAAAGGGAUCCAUUUGAGAAAACUCUAGUUAAAGAUUUUUCGGCUGAACUCACUCAUAGACGCUUUCAUAAUCUCAAUAUAGUACUUCAAAUUUAUGUAAAGCACGCUCUUACAAAGUAGAAUUACAUCUCAUAGUUACAAUUAAUAAGAAGCUCAACCUAAACUUCAAUAACUGAUAAGCACAGAGUCUAAGAUGAGGAAAGAAGAUCCAAAGACCAAAGAACACAUAAACAAGCAAGCUAAUACAACGGAAGUGCAAAACAAUAGAAACAUAAAGCAGUGAUAAUUAACCAACUAAAGCUACUGCAUGACGUGUAUCAACAGAAUCAUGCAUUUAUAAUCAGCACUGCCUUCUAGACAAAUGAUUAAUGAAUGAUAUUCACAAACAUAUG
rnacentral:misc_RNA from 1 species